GACGAACGCUGGCGGCGUGCCUAACACAUGCAAGUCGUGCGAGGACGGCGCCUUCGGGUGUCGAGCCGAGCGGCGGACGGGUGAGUAACACGUGAGUAACCUGCCCCUGUGCGGGGGAUA
rnacentral:rRNA from 1 species